UCUGAUUUUUUUUUUCGGUUUUAGCAAAUUACGGGGGCAGCUAGGGGGGCUAUUUGCAAAACAAUUGUUAUUGCGAGAAUGUUUAUUCGGAUUUUUAUUAUUAAAUAAUAACAUGGAAAAAAUUAAUGAAGUUUUGUUGGACUCUGUAACAACUAGUUGGAGUGGUUAAUCUGUUCCUUUACAUGAUAAUGUAUACUCAGAUGCAUCUUGUAAUGUGGUUGGAGUGUGUAAUCCGUCUUUUUUCAUGACAAAAUGGUUACUCUGAUGCAUUUUCAAUUGCAAGUUUCCAAAUACAUGCAAAGUAAAGCAAGUAAAGAAAACAAUACUUUUCAAUUAAAUGUUGGCGACAUGGCACAUGUAUCAAAGUCUUCUGUCACAGUUGACUCAGCAAGAAUGAAGACAUUGAUACUCUUUUGCAUUAUGUAAUACACAAGUUGGCAGUUUCUCGCCCACUGCCACCCAAAUACAGGUAUAAGAAAUCCUUAUCUGUACGUAACAGACGAUGGAGACGAAGUGAUUAUUAUGUGUGGCAAAAGAUUAUUUUAUGAAGUUUUUCAUUUUCUGACUUCGUGAUGGAUCUUAUUGGAGUACACUUUUUUUGGACAUAGGAGGAGUAUUGCCGCUGUACGCAUGAACAAUAAUAAAACAUUCCAAAGAAUAAUUUGUUAUUUCAACGAUUAGAUUUGUUGUUUAAAUGUAU